GUGAGAAGCGCUGGCUUACUCUGUUCGCCUCUUUCCCGCAUGUUUGACAUGUUCCCUAAGGAAGAGGUUGUGGGGUUUUGUUUUGCUUUCCUGUGUCUUCACAGUCCCGGGGAGCUCUUCCUACGGAGACCGGGGCUGCAGGGAGCUGGGAAGCGCUGCCUCCCGGCUCCUGUUGGGACCCCCCAGCCCCGCUGCUGGCCCGCGCUCGGCCGGGAGGCACCAGGGUCCCGCAGGGCAGCCCCGACCCGUGCCUGGGCGACCUGCCGCGGUGGCUCCGUCGGGCCGGGCGGAAGCGCGGGAGCGCAGGGUUGGGCAGGCCCAGGCGUGGCGGCCCCGGCGCACCUGGACGAGCCGGCAGGUGGGAGCGUCGCAGCCCCGGGGCCCCCGCCCUCGCGCGGGGGAGGAGCGGGCGGCGCGGGGCGGGCGCGGCGGGGACCGGGGCGCUGGGAGCCCGUUGGGCCGCGAACGCAGCCGCCACGCCGGGGCCUCCGAGAUCGGGUGCCCGGGAUGAGCCUCAUCCGGAAAAAGGGCUUCUACAAGCAGGACGUCAACAAGACGGUCUGGGAGCUGCCCAAGACCUACGUGUCCCCGACGCACGUCGGCAGCGGGGCCUAUGGCGCCGUGUGCUCGGCCAUCGACAAGCGGUCAGGGGAGAAGGUGGCCAUCAAGAAGCUGAGCCGGCCCUUCCAGUCCGAGAUCUUCGCCAAGCGCGCCUACCGAGAGCUGCAGCUGCUGAAGCACAUGCAGCAUGAGAACGUCAUUGGGCUCCUGGAUGUCUUCACCCCAGCGUCCUCCCUGCGCAACUUCCAUGACUUCUACCUGGUGAUGCCCUUCAUGCAGUCGGAUCUGCAGAAGAUCAUGGGGAUGGAGUUCAGUGAGGAUAAGAUCCAGUACCUGGUGUAUCAGAUGCUCAAAGGCCUGAAGUACAUCCACUCAGCUGGGGUCGUGCACAGGGACCUGAAGCCGGGAAACCUGGCUGUGAACGAGGAUUGUGAACUGAAGAUCCUGGAUUUUGGGCUGGCGCGGCCUGCAGACGUCGAGAUGACUGGCUACGUGGUGACCCGCUGGUACCGGGCCCCUGAGGUGAUCCUCAGCUGGAUGCACUACAACCAGACUGGUCAGUGUGGACAUCUGGUCUGUUGGCUGUAUCAUGGCGGAGAUGCUGACAGGGAAAACUCUGUUCAAGGGGAAAGAUUACCUGGACCAGCUGACCCAGAUCCUGAAAGUGACCGGGGUGCCAGGCACAGAGUUCGUGCAGAAGCUGAAAGACAACGCGGCCAAAUCCUACAUCCAGGCCUUGCCACAGAGCCCCAAGAAGGAUUUCACUCAGCUCUUCCCACAGGCCAGCCCCCAGGCCGUGGAACUGCUGGAGAAGAUGCUGGAGCUGGACGUGGACAAGCGCCUGACGGCCGCGCAGGCCCUUACCCAUCCCUUCUUUGAACCCUUCCGGGACCCUGAGGAAGAGACGGAGGCCCAGCAGCCGUUUGAUGAUUCCUUAGAACACGAGAAACUCACAGUGGAUGAAUGGAAGCAGCACAUCUACAAGGAGAUUGUGAACUUCAGCCCCAUUGCCCGGAAGGACUCGCGGCGCCGGAGUGGCAUGAAGCUGUAGGGACACAUCUUGCAUGGCACUGCCGGCCAGACACUACCCAAGGACCAGUAUUUAUUUGUCACUACCAAACUCAGCCCUUCUUGGAAUACAGCCUUUCAAGCAGAGGACAGAAGGAAGGAUCCUUCUCCUUGAGUGGGAAAUGGGCCUAGUAGAUGCAGAAUUCAAAUGCUGGUUGGGAGAAGAUAGCUCUGAUUCUAAUGGGCCACAUUAAACUGCUCAUCUGGAGAAUCGCCUGCAGUGGGGGGCCUUUCCUUUCUGCUGGAGUGGGGCUGAGCAGGUGCUGAGCCAGGCCGGGGGGCUGCUUUGGUUUCCUAGGGAUGCUCUAACCAAUUACCACAAACUGGGUGGCUUGAAACAGCAGCACUUGAUUCCUUCAUGGCUCUGGAGGCUGGAAAUCUGAGCUGGAGGUGUUGGCAGGGCCGUGGUCCCUUUGAAGGCUCCAGGGAAGAAUCCUUCCUUGGCUCUCUUUAGCUCAUGGUGGCAGUGGGCAGACCGUGGCAUUCCCGGCUUGGGCUGUAUUCCUCCAAUCUCUGUCUCUUCUGUUCUCUCCUCCUUUAAGAACAACAAUCAUUGGAUGUGGGGCCCACCCUAAUCCUGUAUGAGCUCAUCUCGAUCCUUAUUAAUUACACCUGCAAAAGCUCCAGUUCCAAAUAAAGUCACAUUCUCAGGUUUCAGGUGGACACGAGUUCUGUGGGGGAAACUAUUGGACUCACUACAGAUAGCUGGGAGGGAGGGCCCCUUCCUGGGCCUGGUGCUGAGGCCUAGUGCUCUGUUAAGGAACCAAAUGUGUUUGGCUGCUAAAUUAAGGGAAUUGCGGAGAGAGCUGCAGCUGGUGCGAUUGCAUUCAGGUUAUUUUGGGUGAGUGAUAAGCAAUCAAGAUAUGAAACAACAGCAGGCUUGGAGCCUGCGAGCUGCACAGGCAGAAAUGGGCUCUUGCCUGGCUUGAUGGCAACCGUUCUGCUCCCUUUGGGAGAUGGCCUGGCCCUCCAGAGCUUUGACCUGCCAGUGGCUAGAACCUCUAUGUUUUUAUCUGAGAAACUCUGGCAGAACAAAUUUCCAUGUGCACAAGCUAUCACGGACACAAUGGGUUUCAAUUUCCCUGUGCACCAGGGGACUUUUUAACAUGCAGAUUCCUGGGCCCCACUCCAGGGCUUGUGACUCAGCAGGUCUGGAGUUGAGACCUGAGAAUGUGCAUUUGAAUGAGGCCCUCUAGCCCCUACCCAAGCCUAGUGAUUCUGAUGGAUAUCAGACCAUAGUUCGAGACAUUUAGUGGAUUUCAGUCCCACUUGAUUUGUUGGGAGGCCUUAAUCAGAAACCUACAGUAGGAGGCUGAGGGGCUUCAGAUGGAGCUUCACACUCAUCUUACAGGUGUUAAAACUGAGAAAACGAAGGCUCAGACAGCUGUUUUUUUUUUGUUUGUUUUUUUGUUUUUUUGAGACAGGGUCUGGCUCUGCUACCCAGACUGGAGUGCGGUGGCACAAUCACAGCUCACUGUAACCUCAACCUCCUGGGCUCAAGCCAUCCUCCCACCUCAGUCUCCUAAGUAGCUGGGAUUAUAGGUGUAUGCCACCAGGUGUACCAGGACUACAGGUGGCUAAUUAAAACAAUUUUUUUCUUUUUUGUAUAGAUGGGGUUUCUCUAUGUUGCCCAGGGUGGUCUUGAAAUUCUGGACUCAAGUGAUCCUCCCACUUUGGCCUCCCAAAGUGCUGGGAUUAUAGGCAUGAGCCACCCUGCAGGCCCAGACAGUUUUUAAGGCCUUGAAACUCUUCUGUAUGACACUGUAAUGGUGGAUACAUAUUGUGUAUUUGUUACAAUCUGUAGGACUGGAUAACACAGAGUGAACCCUCAAGUAAACUAUGGACUUCAGUUA